AUUGAACGCUGGCGGCAUGCCUUACACAUGCAAGUCGAACGGCAGCAUGAUCUAUCUUGCUAGAUUGAGGGUGGGGGGCGAACGGGUGAUUCAUACAUAGGAGUGCGCCCUGUGGGGGGGGCUCGCUGGAAGCAGGAUUAGCAACUACUGCGUACGACGUGAGAGAGAGAGUGGGGUACCGCACGGCCGCUUGCGGUAGGAGCGGCCGAUGGCUGAUUAGCUAGUUGGUGAGGUAAAGGCCAACCAAGGCGACGAUCAGUAGCUGGUCUGAGAGGACGAUCAGCCACACUGGGACUGAGACACGGCCCAGACUCCUACGGGAGGCAGCAGUGGGGAAUUUUGGACAAUGGGCGAAAGCCUGAUCCAGCAAUGCCGCGUGUGUGAAGAAGGCCUUCGGGUUGUAAAGCACUUUUGUCCGGAAAGAAAUGGCUCUGGUUAAUACCUGCGGUCGAUGACGGUACCGGAAGAAUAAGGACCGGCUAACUACGUG
rnacentral:rRNA from 1 species